rnacentral:rRNA from 1 species
UGGCGGCAUGCCUAACACAUGCAAGUCGAACGGUAACAGGUCUUCGGAUGCUGACGAGUGGCGGACGGGUGAGUAAUGCGUAGGAAUCUGUCUUUUAGUGGGGGACAACCCAGGGAAACUUGGGCUAAUACCGCAUGAGCCCUGAGGGGGAAAGCGGGGGAUCUUCGGACCUCGCGCUAAGAGAGGAGCCUACGUCCGAUUAGCUAGUUGGCGGGGUAAAGGCCCACCAAGGCGACGAUCGGUAGCUGGUCUGAGAGGACGACCAGCCACACUGGGACUGAGACACGGCCCAGACUCCUACGGGAGGCAGCAGUGGGGAAUUUUUCGCAAUGGGGGCAACCCUGACGAAGCAAUGCCGCGUGGAUGAAGAAGGCCUUCGGGUUGUAAAGUCCUUUCGUGGAGGACGAAAAGGUGGGUUCUAAUACAAUCUGCUAUUGACGUGAAUCCAAGAAGAAGCACCGGCUAACUCCGUGC